AGUUGUGUGUAUAGGAAUUGUACAUGUGUAGGCUUUGAUGAGGAGUGUUAUUGAACUUGGAACUUGUCUCUUUCAAAUUAAUACUUUGAUCUAAU